AAGUUUUCCUGUGCUUGGUUAAACAAGAUGAGAGAUUGUGCUGUUUCCUCUAAACUCUAGAGAUUGCCCACAGUUCCCUGGAGCCUUAAAAAAUCACAAUUCGAGGGAGCUUCCUCAGCUCCAUUUGAGAUGUCCAAUGGGGCCAAGUCUUAAAAACAACGAUGAAUUAAAACCACAUUUUGUGCCAAAUCUCAUCUUAUAUUUUGAGGUAUAGAAGAAUUAAGCAGAGCAAUAAUGUCUGCAUCGGAAUACACAUGAGCAUGAAGAGCCGAGGAGUUUCUUACUCUGAACAAGGUUUUUAGAGGAAGUCUAUGUCAAAAAGGACAAUCUUUUGGGGAUUUCAGUUGCGCAUAUACACUCUUCACAGGUGUACCUCAAUUUGUGACCACACACAAACACUGAUAAUGGCCUCAAACUAGGACCAUCCACUCAGAACACCCCAUGGCCCUGCAAUUUGCUGGAUGUAGAGUAAAUGUUCAUGUUUACACAUAAACAGAAUUAGCCCUCCCAUGAGGCAGGGUGAAGAGGCUGCCUCGGACAGCCGAAGAGCAAGAAGUGGUACCCUGCCCUGCCCCACCUCUUCCACCAGAGGCAGAACACCCACUCUCCUUGGGAGUGUUCCAGCACAUGGCAUUAUCGUCCAUCCUCCCUGCUCCUGGGGUGGAGAAGAUGAACCUCAAGGCCUAGCAGAAUGCUGCCCCUCUCUCUGAGUUCGGUGAGAGGGAAGCAUAGAUUUUUGUUAUGUGUGUACAUACCCCCAUGGAACUUCCCAAGUAGGAGCAGGGCAUGUUGUGUUUCCCAGUUCUUAUGCUGCUUUUGAGGAGGCACAGCUGCCCUCAGGUAGGUUUUCCAUGCCAGUUUAAAUGGUGAAUAUGGAUUAUUUUAAUCUGAGGACCCACUUGGUGCUCGUAUGAGGAAACGGAUGAACCUGAAGGUUUGCUCUGGGAUAGUUCAGCAACUCACAAUACAUUGCUAAUGGAAGCAACAAGCACACCGUGUGAAGAUGCGGCAGCUGCAAUUUUUGGGUGGUCUUAUGGCACGUGAAAAUAACUCGAACCGGGCCUUCCCGACAGAGAACGAGGUGGCCAGGCAGUUUCAACCAACAGGCUAUAACAAAGUUGGUGUUGAAUGUCUUGGUUCAUUGUGGGUUUCAACAUUCUGCAUUUUCCCACUAACAACUAGGGGCAGCCAAGGAAGUGGAGCAGCAGUGAGGAAACACAACAUGUCAUGGCAUGAGGAAGCAAGCAAUUUCUUACAGACAACAGAGAUGGCUAAGGGGUAGAAUGUGGCAGGGUAUUUUUUGGUAGCAACCACAGGUUUAGCAUAAUGCUCUGGUUUGGCCUGCAAGUAGUAAAGUUCAUUAUUAAUAAUAUUUCCGCUCCUUUCCCCCUCCAUCAUGUCAUGAGCCUUUGAAGCCUCUGCUGUUCCUCACUACCAGGAUGGGGUGCGUGGGGAGAGAACAGCCCUCAGGUGGCCCAGUGCCAGGGCAAUCGUGAACAAAACAGGAAAACCACAAAUAUGUCUGCAAAGGUUUUUACUGGUUUCUAGAAUCAGGAAACUUGGUGUCUGCUUUAACAAUGCUGUUUGUGCAGGACUAAUAAAUGGGUGCUU
rnacentral:lncRNA from 1 species